GAUGAACGCUGGCGGCGUGCUUAACACAUGCAAGUCGAACGGUAAAGGCGGGGCUUGCUCUGCUGGAUCAGUGGCGAACGGGUGAGUAACACGUGAGCAAUCUGCCCCUGACUCUGGGAUAAGCGCUGGAAACUGCGUCUAAUACUGGAUACGAGCUGCGACGGCAUCUUCAGCAGCUGGAAGGAACGGCGGUCGGGGAUGAGCUCGCGGCCUAUCAGCUUGUUGGUGAGGUAGCGGCUCACCAAGGCGUCGACGGGUAGCCGGCCUGAGAGGGUGACCGGCCACAUUGGGACUGAGACACGGCCCAGACUCCUACGGGAGGCAGCAGUGGGGAAUAUUGCACAAUGGGCGAAAGCCUGAUGCAGCAACGCCGCGUGAGGGACGACGGCCUUCGGGUUGUAAACCUCUUUUAGCAGGGAAGAAGCGAAAGUGACGGUACCGGCAGAAAAAGCGCCGGCUAACUACGUG
rnacentral:rRNA from 1 species